UGCCUUUUAAAUGAAGGCCUGUAUGAAUGGCAAGACGAGGGCUCAACUGUCUCUUUCUCCUCAUCAGUGAAAUUGAUCUUCCCGUGCAGAAGCGGGAAUAUUACCAUAAGACGAGAAGACCCUGUGGAGCUUUAGACCUCAGACAGUCCAUAAAAAGGGGGAUAAAUAAAGACCUCAAACUAAUUGGAAACUGUCCUACUGUCUUUGGUUGGGGCGACCGCGGGGUAACAAAAAACCCCCACGUGGAUUAAGAAUAUAUUCCUAAAUCUAAGAGUUACAACUCUAGGAAACAGAAUUUCUGACCUUAAGUGAUCCGGACUUCCGAUCAACGAACCUAGUUACCCCAGGGAUAACAGCGCAAUCCUCUUUUAGAGUCCAUAUCGACAAGGGGGUUUACGACCUCGAUGUUGGAUCAGGACAUCCUAAUGGUGCAGCCGCUAUUAAGGGUUUGUUUGUUCAACAAUUAAAGU
rnacentral:rRNA from 1 species